rnacentral:rRNA from 1 species
GACGAACGCUGGCGGCGUGCUUAACACAUGCAAGUCGAGCGGUAAGGCCCUUCGGGGUACACGAGCGGCGAACGGGUGAGUAACACGUGGGUGAUCUGCCCUGUACUUCGGGAUAAGCCUGGGAAACUGGGUCUAAUACCGGAUAUGACCUUACAUCGCAUGGUGUUUGGUGGAAAGAUUUAUCGGUACAGGAUGGGCCCGCGGCCUAUCAGCUUGUUGGUGGGGUAAUGGCCUACCAAGGCGACGACGGGUAGCCGGCCUGAGAGGGCGACCGGCCACACUGGGACUGAGACACGGCCCAGACUCCUACGGGAGGCAGCAGUGGGGAAUAUUGCACAAUGGGCGGAAGCCUGAUGCAGCGACGCCGCGUGAGGGAUGACGGCCUUCGGGUUGUAAACCUCUUUCGACUCCGACGAAGCGAAAGUGACGGUAGGAGUAUAAGAAGCACCGGCCAACUACGUG